rnacentral:rRNA from 1 species
UACGUAGGGUCCGAGCGUUGUCCGGAAUUAUUGGGCGUAAAGGGCUCGUAGGCGGUUUGUCGCGUCGGGAGUGAAAACUCAGGGCUUAACUCUGAGCUUGCUUUCGAUACGGGCAGACUUGAGGCAUGCAGGGGAGAACGGAAUUCCUGGUGUAGCGGUGAAAUGCGCAGAUAUCAGGAGGAACACCGGUGGCGAAGGCGGGUCUCUGGGCAGUAACUGACGCUGAGGAGCGAAAGCGUGGGGAGCGAACAGG